UACGGAGGGUGCAAGCGUUAUCCGGAUUCACUGGGUUUAAAGGGUGCGUAGGUGGGCUUGUAAGUCAGUGGUGAAAUCUCCGUGCUUAACAUGGAACUGCCAUUGAUACUAUGGGUCUUGAAUUAUCUGGAGGUUAGCGGAAUAUGUCAUGUAGCGGUGAAAUGCUUAGAUAUGACAUAGAACACCAAUUGCGAAGGCAGCUGGCUACAGGUACAUUGACACUGAGGCACGAAAGCGUGGGAUCAAACAGG
rnacentral:rRNA from 1 species